rnacentral:rRNA from 1 species
UACGGAGGGUGCAAGCGUUAUCCGGAUUUACUGGGUUUAAAGGGUGCGUAGGCGGUCCAUUAAGUCAGUGGUGAAAUCUCCGAGCUUAACUCGGAAACUGCCAUUGAUACUAUUGGUCUUGAAUUCGGUCGAGGUUGGCGGAAUGUGUCGUGUAGCGGUGAAAUGCUUAGAUAUGACACAGAACACCGAUGGCGAAGGCAGCUAGCUAGACCGACAUUGACGCUGAGGCACGAAAGCGUGGGGAGCAAACAGG